UGAGCAAUCUGCCCUUCUCAUCGGAAUAAGCGUUGGAAACGACGUCUAAUGCCGAAUACGACCUCCUUUCGCAUGAUCGGAGGUGGAAAGCUCCGGCGGAGAAGGAUGAGCUCGCGGCCUAUCAGCUAGUUGGUGUGGGUAAUGGCCCACCAAGGCGACGACGGGUAGCCGGCCUGAGAGGGUGACCGGCCACACGUGGGACUGAGACACGGCCCAAACUCCUACGGGAGGNAGCG
rnacentral:rRNA from 1 species